CAGAGAGAGAGACAGAGCGAGAGAGAGAGAGAGAGAGACAGAGAGAGACAGAGAGAGAGAGAGGGGGAGAGAGAGAGAGAGAGAGGGGGAGAACAGAAAGAAAUGCCCACUUGCCAGUUGGUGUUUUAUAUCUUGUUUCUGCGGCGACAUCAAACUGCCACACAACAAGCUGUUACUAACCAUCUGGUCAUCAUGACGCUAUACAAACAAACAAACAGAAAUAUAAUUCUUAAGACUUGAUCUUAAAUGACACCCUAUUCCCUAUCUAGUGCACUACUUCUACAUACACUGUUCGAUAAGAAUGUGCAAAAAAGGUUCCUCGGUUGUCUCCAUAGGAGAACCCUUUGAAGAACCUUUUUUGGUUCCUGGUAGAACCCUUUUGGUUCCAGGUAGAACCCCUUUGAGUUCCAUGUAGAACCCUUUUCACAGAGGUUUCACCAUGGAGCCCAAAAGAGUUUUACCUGGAACUAAAAAGGGUUCUACCAGGAACCAAAAAGGUUCUACCAGGAACCAAAAAGGGUUCUUACCAGGAACCAAAAAGGGUUCUUCAAUGGGUAAAUUGUCUCUGGUCAAAAGUAGUGCACUGGAAUAGUGAGACACUGUCAUCUGAGAUUUGUUCACACUCUCUAAAGCAACAGUAUGUUGAAGUGUUAAUCUGUAUAUACCAUGUAAAUACCAUCAAACUGCCUGUAUUCAUAUUACAUAUGGAGCUGAUAGCAUGAUUAGGGCCAGGAGUUUUUUAUGGAGAUACAUUUCUGUCAAACCAUUUCAUUAAUUCACAACAUUUUGACUGAUAUCUAUCACCGUAGUGUUCCUCACCACAUCACCUGAACAUGCAAGACAAUCUCUGGGCCCUAGUUAAAUGCUGUCGUAAAGCAAAUAGCCUACAACUAUUACUAGUAGGGGCCUGGAAUUUGUCCAAGUCAGGUCACGCGGUCAGGGAAAACUCCUGGCCCUAAGUAUACUGAACAAAAAUAUAAACGCAGCAAUUUCAAAGGUUUUACUGAGUUACAGUUCAUAGAAGGAAAUCAGUCAAUUGACAUACAUUCACAAGGCCCUGAUCUCUGGAUUUCACAUGACUGGGCAGGGGUGCCAGGCCCAGACAAUCAGAAUGUGUUUUCCCCCACAAUAGGGGUUUAUUACAGACAGAAAUACUCCUCAGUUUCAUCAGCUGUCCGGGUGAUGGGUGACUGAUCUCAGACGAUCCCACAGGUGAAGAAGUCGGAUGUUGAGGUCCUGGGCUGGCGUUGUUGCACGUGAUUGGCGGUUGUGAGGCCGGUUGGAAGUACUGCCAAAUUCUUUAAAACAACAUUGGAGGCGGUUCACUGUAGAGAAAUGAACAUUCAAUUCCCUGGCAACAGCUCUGGUGGACAUUCCUGCAGUCAGCAUGCCAAUUGCACGCUCCCUCAAAACUUGAGACAUCUGUGGCAUUGGGUUGUGUGACAAAACUGCCUUUUAUUGUCCCCCAGCACAAGGUGCACCUGUGCCAAUUGCACGCUCCCUCAAAACUUGAGACAUCUGUGGCAUUGUGUUGUGUGACAAAACUGCCUUUUAUUGUCCCCCAGCACAAGGUGCACCUGUGCCAAUUGCACGCUCCCUCAAAACUUGAGACAUCUGUGGCAUUGUGUUGUGUGACAAAACUGCCUUUUAUUGUCCCCAGCACAAGGUGCACCUGGUCAUGCUGUUUAAUCAGCUUCUUGAUAUGCCACACCUGUCAGGUGAAUGGAUUACCUUGGCAAAGGAGAAAUGCUCACUAACAUGGAUGUAAACAAAUUUGUGCACAAAAUCUGAGAGAAAUAAGCUUUUCAUGCGUAUGGAAAAUGUCUGGGAUCUUUUAUUUCAGCUCACGAAACAUGUGACCAACACUUUACAUGUUGCGUAUAUAUUUUUGUUCAGUGUAUAACAGAGAACUAGAAAACUGCUCCCAGAGCUGUGGCUGUACAGGACCAGGACUCAUAACCACAAAGCAUCUCAGAGCAGGAGUGCUGAUCUAGGAUCAGGUCCACCCUGUAUCCAUGUAAUCUUAUUCAUUAUGAUUUAAAAGUGAAAACUGAUCCUAGAUUAGUACUCUUGCUCUGAGACGCUUUGUGUAAAUGGGCCCAGGACAGGAAUAAAGUUUGAAGUAAAAACCGCGUACAGAAAACGCCCCCUUACCCACACAAAAUAAGUGGUUGGAGUAUUACACUACUCAAAAGAGAAAGAAAGAGAGAGUUCUUGAAAUUAUUCUAUUUUUGUUAUUUCUCAUUGGAAGGACAUCAUUUAAAUAAAAAAUUGUAAGUGCAUAUAUUAUGAUUAGGAAAGUUAUCCACCUUCAUUUUCAGAUCCAGCAGUAUGGUUUAUGUAGCUGUUGGUUGAAACACAUGCAGCUAUAUAUGUCUUGCCAAUGUCAUGAAAAUUAUUAUAUCAUUCAAAUAAAUUAUUUUUCUUGCUUA
ensembl:lncRNA